UAGGGGGGGUGCCAGCGUUGUCCGGAAUCACUGGGCGUAAAGGGUGGGUAGGCGGGCCUGUAAGUCCGGAGUGCAAUCUGUCUGCUUAACGGACAAUCCGCUUUGGAUACUGCAGGUCUUGAGUCACAUAGAGGAAGGUGGAAUUCCUGGUGUAGCGGUGAAAUGUGUAGAUAUCAGGAAGAACACCGGUAGCGAAGGCGGCCUUCUGGGUGUUGACUGACGCUGAGCCACGAAAGCGUGGGGAGCAAACAGG
rnacentral:rRNA from 1 species